GUGCCGCGAGCCGCGGUAAUACCGGCAGCUCGAGUGAUGUCCAAUAUUAUUGGGCCUAAAGCGUCCGUAGCUGGCCGCGCAAGUCCGUCGGGAAAUCCACCUGCCCAACAGGUGGGCGUCCGGCGGAAACUGUGUGGCUUGGAACCGGAAGGCUCAGGGGGUACGUCCGGGGUAGGAGUGAAAUCCCGUAAUCCCGGACGGACCACCGAUGGCGAAAGCACUCUGAGAAGACGGCUUCGACAGUGAGGGACGAAAGCCAGGGUCUCCAACCGGAUUAGAUACCCUUGUAGUCC
rnacentral:rRNA from 1 species